rnacentral:rRNA from 1 species
UAGUCCACGCCGUAAACGAUGUCUACUAGCUGUUUGUGAUCUUGUAUCGUGAGUAGCGCAGCUAACGCACUAAGUAGACCGCCUGGGGAGUACGGCCGCGAGGUUAAAAUUCAAAUGAAUUGACGGGGGCCCGCACAAGCGGUGGAGCAUGUGGUUUAAUUCGAUGCAACGCGAAGAACCUUACCAUCCCUUGACAUACUGAGAACUUUCUAGAGAUAGAUUGGUGCCUUCGGGAACUCAGAUACAGGUGCUGCAUGGCUGCCGUCAGCUCGUGUCGUGAGAUGUUGGGUUAAGUCCCGCAACGAGCGCAACCCUUAUCCUUAUUUGCCAGCACGUAAUGGUGGGAACUCUAAGGAGACUGCCGGUGAUAAACCGGAGGAAGGUGGGGACGACGUCAAGUCAUCAUGGCCCUUACGGGAUGGGCUACACACGUGCUACAAUGGCGCAUACAAAGGGCAGCGAACCUGCGAGGGUAAGCGAAUCUCAUAAAGUGCGUCGUAGUCC